rnacentral:rRNA from 1 species
UACGUAGGGGCCUAGCGUUGUCCGGAAUCAUUGGGCGUAAAGCGCGCGUAGGCGGCCGUGUAAGUCCGCUCUGAAAGUCAAAGGCUCAACCUUUGAAAGCGGGUGGAUACUGCACGGCUAGAGUCCGGAAGAGGCGAGUGGAAUUCCCGGUGUAGCGGUGAAAUGCGCAGAUAUCGGGAGGAACACCUAUGGCGAAGGCAGCUCGCUGGGACGUUACUGACGCUGAGACGCGAAAGCGUGGGGAGCAAAUAGG